rnacentral:rRNA from 1 species
CCUACGGGUGGCUGCAGUGGGGAAUAUUGGACAAUGGGCGAAAGCCUGAUCCAGCCAUGCCGCGUGUGUGAAGAAGGCCUUCGGGUUGUAAAGCACUUUCAGUGGGGAAGAAAGCCUUGGGGCUAAUACCUUCGAGGAAGGACAUCACCCACAGAAGAAGCACCGGCUAACUCCGUGCCAGCAGCCGCGGUAAUACGGAGGGUGCGAGCGUUAAUCGGAAUUACUGGGCGUAAAGCGCGCGUAGGCGGUCUGAUAAGCCGGUUGUGAAAGCCCCGGGCUCAACCUGGGAACGGCAUCCGGAACUGUCAGGCUAGAGUGCAGGAGAGGAAGGUAGAAUUCCCGGUGUAGCGGUGAAAUGCGUAGAGAUCGGGAGGAAUACCAGUGGCGAAGGCGGCCUUCUGGACUGACACUGACGCUGAGGUGCGAAAGCGUGGGUAGCAAACAGGAUUAGAUACCCGAGUAGUC